AGAAGUGCUUUUAUUUUAAACUAAAACAAUCAUUUACAAAACUGCUUACUGUACCAUUUUGGUAACUUUUUCCAUUUAAAUUUUAGAAGCCCUUUUACUUGGGGCUGAUAAAGUUAUUUGCUACUGGUGAUGCCUGUUACUGAUGUUGUACAGACACAUUUUACUUUUCUGUUUGCCUCAGGAAUUGGAUGAAGUAAUUGAUCACUAAAGAACUACAGUGCUGAUGAGGUGUGUAAGAAAUUAUAAAGAGCUCUGAUGGGCUAUUUGGGUGAUACCCAGUGCAGUGAACUGCAGGUGAGUAAGGUUUAGGAGAGCUUUAUUUAGAAAACAAGAACUUGGUGAUGCCUGAGGAAGAGAGGAGAGACUUUAAAUGUAGAGUGUCUGGCCAGGAAGCAUAAGCUGGGACAAGGAUGCAGUGAUGCUGCAUGGUAGGGAAGCUGUGGAAACCUGAAGAUGCGGGUCCUGACUGAAUUGGCUGCUUCUGGAACAGACUGGAUGAGGAUGAACAUACUCUGAGGAGCCCGGGGGCCGCUCUGCCAGAGUUUGUUUGAAGAGAAGCCAGGGUAGGUUAAUCUUCUACUUACGUUUUGAUUGAGUAACCGCACAGAGACGACUCCUAUCUGCAUAUGAUUAGAACUUGAGAGGCCCUUCAGUUUCUGAGUCAGCAUUCUGGAGUGGUAAUCCCCCUGUGCUCCCAUGAACUUGGGGAAGUAUUGAAUAGUUUUGUUUUUCCUGUUAUCUGCUGUGUGUGUGUUGUCACGAAUGACUGUAUAUGUCUGCAUUUUUGUGCAUCUAGGUAGUGAGAACACAGCGAUAGAAACAAAAGGUUAAACUUUCUUUCCUAAUGGUUGUUUUAAUUAGUCCCUCAUAUUUGUUGUCUUUUGCUGAAAUGCCCUGCUAAGAAAGGCCAUUUGAUCUUUAUUAUUUGUAAUUCACAAGAACUAAUUUUCUUGGUCCAUUAUAGCAUCUUGGUCUUUCAUUUUAAAUUUGGACAAUGGUGAUACUACAGCAAAAACAAUUAGAAGACUGUUUUGAUACUGUCCUUGUGGGGCAUCAGUGCUAAAAUUAUGUUUUGUUACAUUUUCAAUGCUAGUCUUUUUUAGACCUCACCAGCUCAAGGAAGCUUCAUCUGUUGAUAAAAUAUCUUGCCAUCCUGCCUUAUGGCCUCUGGCCUCUGGUUUAUAAGACAUUGCCAGCUACUUUUUACCCAUCUGCUUUAAGCUGGAGUUUUCAGUUUUCUGUUCUUUGUAGUUGGAAUAACUUUUCUUUUUCCCUUUCACUGUACCUUGGUCUCUUGGCCCUUAGUUCUUUGAUUUGUCCAUGAUUUCAGACUGCUUUUUAAAUGUGAUACAGUCCCUCACUGAGGCAGCAAGUUGGCUUUGAGAAUACCCGACACUUGAAUGUGACGCUACUGUAUCCUUUCAGGUUUUAUAAUUGAAUGUGGGCUUGGCUCUUUGCUGAUUGUCUUUGUUUUUGAGGCUAUGCUUGUUUUGCAUGAUUCAUGGGUUCAUGGGUGUGAUCUGAAGACCAUUCGAGAUGGUUCCUUAGUCCUUGGAAAGCUAUGGUCUGGGGUUGUCAUAUAGAGGUCAUUGUGAUAAGGAACGUGUGAGUUCUCAGGUAAGGCCAAAAUGCUCAGUGAUAGGUUGGAUCUUUUCUUGAGGUUCUGUCAAGCUUGUAUCCCGGAACCCCUCUUUCUUGAGUAUGGGGGGACUUUCUUUUUUAAGUUAACAGGAAUGGAUAUUAAAUUGUUAAAUAUUUAGAUUAUUACCCUAAAAUCGUUGAUUUUCUUUUUGGAGUUCCAUUAAAAACUAUAUAUGUAUGUAUACACGUGUACACAUACAAGCAUUUACAUGUGUAUAUAUAUGUGUACAUAUAUAUAUAUAUUUUAUUCAUGUCUAAUUAUAGUGUAUGUAAUUGGAAUUUUUUCUGCUUGUUAGAUCAUGGAACAUUUUCAUGUUAUAGGUGUCACAAUUUUAAUUUAUAUGCUUACAUUUUGAAAGGGUGCAAAAUAUUUCAUCAAGUCAUGCUCCCAUAAUUUACUUACAUUUUUUAAUGUUAGGUUAAACAUGUUGCUCCCUGGUUUUCACUUAAUACUUUAAUCUACAUUAUUGUAGAUGUUUAUUAUUUUUUGACUAAUUAUAGUUCUAGGAUACAUUUCUGAGUGUUGUGUUAUAAUUUUUUUUUUUUAAUGUUUAUUUUUUGAGAGAGAGAGACAGGGUGUGAGCAGGGAAGGGGCAGAGAGAGGGAGACAGAAUCCGAAGCCGGCUCCGGGCUCUGAGCUGUCCACCCGGAGCCUGAUGUGGGGCCCGAACCCACAAACCAUGAGAUCAUGAUCUGAGCUGAAGUAGGUUGCUUAACUGACUGAGCCACCCAGGCUCCCCCUGAGUGUAUUGUGUUAAAUGGAAUGAAUGUUAUUAUGACUUUUGAUAUGUGUUGCCACGCUGUUUUUCAAGAAUGUUGUACCAGUUUGUACUAUUAGCAGAAACACGGACGUACCAGUUUUACCAUAACUGGACAGAAAUACAUUUUUUCCUUAAAAGUGUUUGCUCACUGGGGCGCCUGGGUGGCUCAGUCAGUUGGGCAUCUGACUUCGGCUCCAGUCAUGAUCUCACAGCUUGUGGGUUCGAGCCCUGCGUCGGGCUCUGUGCUGACAGCUCAGAGCCCGACGCGGGGCUCGAACUCACGGACCGUGAGAUUGUGACCUGAGCCGAAGUCGGACGCCUAACCGACUGAGCCACCCAGGCGCCCCUAAAAAAAAUUUUUUUAAAAAAGUUUUUGCUCAUUUGGUAGUGUAAAGUGGCAUUUGCUUUUCUUUGUUUGAUAGUGUUGAAUUUCAUUCUUUGAAUCUCUUCAUGGUAAAUUGUGCGUAUUCUCUGCUGUUUUGCGCAAUACAGUAUUGAUGUAAGCUUUGGAUAGUAAGGCGAGUAUAACCAGGUGAUGAUAGGUAGUUAAUAAAAAGAUAACCAGAACACAUCCAGUGAAAACGUUCAAAGAGGUCUAGAUGGUCAGGGAUCUUGGGGACAGUGGUUGAGGGGGAACAGAUGGAUUAUUCCAAGAUUCAAUUCAGCAAAUGUUUCUUGGGCAUCCACUUUAUACAGUGUGCCACGUGCGUCCUCUGAGUGCUUCUCAAGUCGUCGUCUCGGCCUCUGCCUGGUUGGAGGCGGAGGCUACUUGGGAAUGCUUGAGACUUGACCAGUGGGGACUCUGGCUGCCGAAGUCGCUUUGUGGCUGCUUGGAGGGCCGAGGGGAUCACCGUGUGGAAUAUCUGUAGCUCAUUCAUGGCAUACCAUCAUGUCUUCACACAGUCUUUGAGAAGCUGUCUUGUGAGGAAUACGAAGGUGAAUAAAACCUCUAUUUCCUACUCACAAGGAACGAACCCUCUCGUAGGGAGAACAGGGGCACCAGAAAAUGAAAGGACUACUAGGAGUUUGAUAGGUGCUCUAAAAGAGGUUCCACCAAGGUGCUUAGGGGUUAAGUAGAGGGAGUGAUACUGUCCCCUUGGGGAGAUCAGGGAACACUUCAGUUGAAGAAGCGGCAUUUAAAUUGACCCCCCCGAAGAGGAGAAGGGAUGGAAGGAGGCAUUCUGGAGGGAAGGAUAGCUUGGGCAGAGGCUGGGGUUGGUGCCAGAAUGAGUUGGGUGCCAGGAAACCGUGCGUCUAAACUCGUUGGACCCUGGGAGACAUAACGGAACGCGAUGGAAGAUGAGGCCGCAGAGAGGUCAGGACUGGGUCUUGGAGGGUGUUGAGUGCCAAACCGAGGAUGAGUAUGAUGGAUUGGCCGUGAGGAGACACAGGGAGGGACUUAGUUGUGCUCAUGGCCAUAGUUCAGGCGAGGGCCUGAAUUGAGUCGAUGGCCUUGGGGAUGGAAAGGAGGUGACAGAUUCAGAAGAUAUUUUGGAGGUUGAACAGGGUUGUGGGGACUGAUUAGGCAGGAGGGGAAGGAAACAGUCAGUUCUAAGUCAGAGGUGAUGUUGAAGUGUUUAUGCUUGGGUGGCUGGCAGAAUGGGCAUCAGGAAUAGGGACAUCAGAGGGGUUUGGAAUAGAGAAAAGAUGAAUUUGGUUUUGUUUGUUGAGUUCCAGAAGCUAGGAGAAAGCCGAAGUCAGAAUUUUAGUCCUAGAAGGAACAGAUGAGGAAGUUCAGGGCCCAGAGGCAUUAGAGGAGCCAGAGAGGUCUCGUACUUACUAAAACCAAGCACAGAUGAACCUUCCUGACUCCCAGUCCAGUGUCCCCUUCCCUCCCUCACUGCCAAGAGCUGAAGGUUGUCAUCUGGCUGUUGUCCUCACAUUCAGGUGUACUCAGUAGAAAGUUGGGAGUGGCGGAGUUUACGUUGGGGAAUGAGGACUUGCUUUUUUUAUUUUUAACUUUAAAAAAUUAUUUUAUUAUUUUUUAUUUAUUUUAUUUUAGAGAGUGAGCGAGCAGGGGAGAGGGAAAGAGAGAGAGAAAGAGAGAGAGAAUCCCCAGCAGACUCCAUGCUCAGAAUUCCUGUUCUGCCUCAGACUUUGUGUUUUGGGCAAACCCCUGAAGUCUUCUUAGUUUGUGAGAUGGAGAUAAAUAAUAUCAGCUUUGUAAAAUCCCUUGAGACAAGGUAUGUCAAAACCCUGUAUGAACUCUAAACUUUCGGGCUAAAUUAUUAUGCGGGUUUUAGUUGUCAGUAGUAACAAAAAAGUCGUGCUCUUCAACUUCAGGGUUCUGUGUUGCUGGCAUAAAGUGUAUCUGAUUCAACAAAUUUUUAUUUUUCAGCACAUACUUAGGUCAGGAACCUGGGGCUUCAAUAGUGAACAAAGCAGACAAAAUCCCAGCUCCCAUGGAGCUCGUAUUCUAGACCUGGGGGGUAAUAGUGAGCUGAUGCUUUUAUAACAGUGGCAAGACACUGUUCUAAGUACUUUUAUAAUUUAACCUAUUUAAUUCUUGCAAGAGGCUUGCAAGGUAGAUACUGUUAUUAUCCCUAUUUUGCAGAUUGGGAGAUUGAGGCAGAGUUAUGUAGGUUGUCUCAGGUUGCCAUGCCAAGAUUGAAAUUCAGGCAGAUCUGGUUUCAAGCUUGUAAACUCUUUUUUUUUUCUUAAAUUUUUAAUGUUUAUUUUUGAGAGAGAGGGAGGAGAGAGCAUGAGCUGGGGAAGGGCAGAGAGAAGGGGGGACGGAGGAUUCAAAGCGGGGUCGAUGCUGACAGCAGAGAACCCGAUGUGGGGCUUGAACCCACAAACCACGAGAUCAUGACCUAAGCUGAAGUUGGGUGCUUAACCGACUGAGCCACCCAGGCACCCCCUCAAGCUUGCAUACUCUUAACUCCUGUUCUGUAGAACAUUUUAAAUUCAUUCAUGGUAUACUAAUGUUUAAUAACAAAAAAGGUAGGCCCACAUUGAAAUUAAUUCUAAGCAAAUAAGUUUUUCUUGUAUAAAAAACAAAACAAAACAAAAACCCAUGAAAAGUGAUGUUAGUUCUCUGCGGAUGGUGACACAGUAGUAGUCUUUCAUAGAACAAAAUUUUUCUCCCUAACUUUUUAUAGGCUUCAUCAACUUUUUUGGUUUCUUUAGAUACAAAUGGCCAUGUCAAUGGAAGGAAGUAAUUUUUCUGCUGACCCUUGGACAGAAUCUCUUCUUGAAUAAAUCCCCUUCUUGCUUUUUUACCUUUUUGACCUUUGCCUCCACUCCCCUCCCUUUUGUUACCUUAGGGGCAAGUCCCUUCUCCGAUCUCUCCUGCUCUCUGUUCUUCCUUGUUCUCACCACUCUUCUGUCCUCACCAGUCUCAUCAGCUGGCCAUGUCCUGAGAGAGUCCCUGCCUCCCGCCUUCUCUUUCCUUUUUUUUUUUUUUAAACGUUUAUUUAUUUUUGAGACAGAGAGAGACAGAGCAUGAACGGGGCAGGGUUAGAGAGAGGGAGACACAGAAUCUGAAACAGGCUCCAGGCUCUGAGCCGUCAGCACAGAGCCCGACGCGGGGCUCGAACUCACGGACCGCGAGAUCAUGACCUGAGCCGAAGUCGGCCGCUUAACCCACUGAGCCACCCAGGCGCCCCCCGCCUUCUCUUUCCUAGCUUGCCGCUCGCCAACCACCUUGGACUUGGUCCUGUGUUUUGGCUUUUCUGAGUUUAUUUAGUGGGACUAAUUUCUCACCUUUGACUCUGGCUCUUGGUCCUUCUUUUUUUAUUUAAAAAACAUUUUUUUUAAAUGUUCAUUUAUUUUUGAGAGACAGAGCACAAGCAGGGAAGAGGCAGAGAGAGAGGGAGACACAGAAUCCAAAGCAGGCUCCAGGCUCCGGGCUGUCAGCACAGAGCCCAACGCGGGGCUCGAACUCACGAACUGCAAGAUCAUGACCUGAGCCUAAGUCGGAUGCUUAACCAACUGAGCCACCCAGGCGCCCCUGCUCUUGGUCCUUCUUCAUGGGUAGGGCAUACUGGGAAAUGGACCAUGAGGAAUCCUUAAGUUUGCUUCUGGAUUAAGCCGUGGGCCUCACUGCUUAUAAGGAGGUUAUUAAGGCUUGUGUACUUGUAGUUUUUAGAAUUUUGGUUAAAUAUGCAUGACAAGAAAUUUACCAUUUUAGCCAUUUUUAUAUUCAUUUCAGUGGCAGUAAGUGCAAUCAUGUUGUUGAACUGCCUCCACCAUCUGUCUCUAAAACUCUCUCAUUGCCCCGAACCGAAACUGUGUACCUGUUAAACAACUCUCCAUUUCCCCCUCCUGCAAGCCUCUGGCAACCAGCAUUCUAUUUUCUGUCUCUAUGAAUUUGCCAUUCUAGGUCCCUCAUAUAAGUACAAUCAUACAUUGUCCUUUGUGCCUGGCUUUUUUCACCUACCGUGGUGUCUUCAGGGCUCACCUAUGUUGUGGCACGUGUCAGCAUUUCCUUCCUUCUUAAGGCUAAAUAAUACGCCAUUGUAUGUAAAUGCCACAUUUUUAAUCCAUUCAUCUGCGGAUGGACACUUGGGUUGUUUCCACCUUUUGGCUGUUAGACAUAAUGCUGCUGUGAACAUGGGUGUACAGAUAUUUGUUCCAGUCCCUGCUUUUAGUUCUUUUGGAUAUUAACCCAGAAGUAGAAUUGUUGGAUCUUGUGGUAAUUCUGUGCUUAAUGUUUUCCAAAGUAGUAACACCAUCGUAUGUCCCACCAGCGGUGUACAAGGAGUCCAAUUUGUUCACAGCCUCACCAACACUUGUUAUUUUCUGGGCUUUUUUUUUUUUUUUUUUUUUUUUUU